AGCGCCAUUUUCCGAGCUAUAA
rnacentral:miRNA from 14 species